UUAGAUUGUCAUUUACUUCCUCCAACUUUUAGUUUAUUUUUAUUUAUGUUGUUCUUUUCUUUUGUAAGUAUAAUCCAUACACAUGGUAAAAAUGUCCAACAGUACAAGAUACUAUUCACAUGAAAGUAAAGCCCUCUAAAAAAACCAAAUCUUGGCUAGGCGCAGUGAUUAUGCCUAUAAUCCCAGCACUUUGGGAGGCCAAGACAAGUGGAUCACUUGAGGUCAGGAGUUCCAGAUCAGCCUGGCCAACAUGGCAAUCCGCACCCCCCCCCUCCCCGCACCCCCACUUUGGCCUCCCAAAGUGUUAGGAUUACAGCUGUGAGCCACCAUGCCUGGCCAAAUUUAAGCAAAUUUUUGAAAACACAUAUCCACAGGAAUGCUGCACAUUUUACCCAGCUACUAUGUCUAGGGUCAUAUCUAGCACACCAGCAUGGCUACUGUGGAGAGCUGGGACUGGAUGUGGGACUAGAGCUAAAGCGGAAGUAAGCAAACCAAGCAGGGGAAGGUAAGAGAAGACAGAAGACAGAGAGAGAGGGACCUAACUCUAUGAGAGGAGUCAGACAUGUGCAAUUGAAACAGACUUGCUCCUGCCUCUCUUCUGUGAAUGUUUGUGAAUAUCCCAACGCGACACUUUCACAGAGAAGCUGAUAGACGUCAUCACAGCCAUCAGCCUUGGGACACCAGGCCACAGCGUGUACACUAAGUGGCACUGAUGGACACUUCAGCAUCCCUCUAGCUGCUGUCCCGUUUCCCCUCCUGGGGGACCACAGCUGUUGCCAGUCCUUGGUUUCCUUCAGGAGGGUGUCUGGGUAGACCGGCCUGUGUGCACAUAGUCCAAGAUACAUGAACAGUGAAGUACCAGGCAAUCCUUGCAAGCGUGGGCAGGUGGAGAGCUGAGGCCUGCUUGACACCUUCCUGCUCAGAAGCCCAGUGAGCAGUUUCCCUCCCUAAGGCUCAGUGUCAUCCCCUAUAAAAUGGGGCUUAUGGCAGAGCUCACCACACUGGGUGCGUCUAGGGAUUUGGUG
rnacentral:sRNA from 1 species